rfam:Leishmania major strain Friedlin complete genome, chromosome 36
GGAGCCGACCACGUCUGUGUGCUGCGCGGAAACGGCUUGUCGUUCUUCCAUGCGCUUCUCACUGUAAGAGUCGGCAAGA